rnacentral:lncRNA from 1 species
GGAUUUUUUUUUUUUCCCUUUCCUGAAUAUGUGCUGAUCUCAUUCAUCUUGGGAAAAGCACUGGGUGUUCUCAUCCAGGCUCUACCUGGCAAGCUGCACACGCUGUGGCAGAGGGAGCGAACUUCUGAGCAGGCUCUGCAGUGGUGCUGCUGGGCUUCUUCUGCUUUCCUUCUAGAGCAAGAGCGUGGCUUCUUCACCCGGCAUUCCUGGGAGAGAUGAAGGAUUAAUCAGCCACUCGAUGGGGAUUAACAGUGGAGCACCUCUUUGUGUCGCCUUUCCACCUCUCUGUAGCAAGAAUAACAACUUCAGCACUUCUUCAAUAAUAAUUAUGAAACUGGUAUUAACUGAAUGGCAAUUAUGGAUUUUUAACUCUAACUCACAGUAAACCAGCAAGCCAUAUGUUGAAAUUCCUACCAAAUAGCUUUCCAUUCUUUAUGUCUCGUAUCUACACAAGAAGUUGCAAGAUACUUGUUUGUACAAGAGGAAUAUAAGCAUUACUUGCCUGAGGAACGGAAGGUGAAAGAGAAGACACCCUG